rnacentral:lncRNA from 1 species
GCGAACGACACAUGAAACGUGUUUUUUUAUUUUAUUUUGAGAGUGUGAGAAAGCAGAAAAUACUAGAAAUCAUCGAUAAAACCUACAAGGAAAUAGUUCCUGCACUUCACAAUUAACAUUCUACUAUUUUGGCAGGAAAGAGAGAGCGAGAGCUCCAAUCUUCUUCGUUUCAGCCCCCCCCCCCCUCUCCCAGCUGCUGGACGAGUGAUUUAUACAAUGGGAGAACAUGCAGAGAGAGAUGGAUGGUGAUUCUGCCGAAAAACCGGGACUCUAUAAUAACAACACAACAGCUAGACCGUGCGCGUGAAAUACAGCAAACGACAAUAGGACGUCAUCAGAGCUGUGAAGAGCGUCAGGAUCGACCCCAUCGCCCACCUUCCAGAGUUGACUGUAAAUUUUUGUUUAAAAUAAUUUGAAUUAGUCAGCGAUUGAAGAGUUUCGGCGCUGGCGACGUGGCGGCUGCGGAAUAUUCGCUCGCCGUGCUGGUG